rnacentral:rRNA from 1 species
UACGGGGGGGGCAAGCGUUGUUCGGAAUUACUGGGCUUAAGGGGCGCGUAGGCGGCUUGCCAAGUCAGGGGUGAAAUCCUGCAGCUCAACUGUAGAAGUGCCUUUGAUACUGGCGAGCUCGAGGGAGGUAGGGGUGGGUGGAACUUCUGGUGGAGCGGUGAAAUGCGUUGAUAUCAGAAGGAACGCCGGUGGCGAAAGCGACCCACUGGAUCUCUACUGACGCUGAGGCGCGAAAGCUAGGGGAGCAAACGGG